GAUGAACGCUGGCGGCGUGCCUAAUACAUGCAAGUCGAGCGAACGGACGAGAAGCUUGCUUCUCUGAUGUUAGCGGCGGACGGGUGAGUAACACGUGGAUAACCUACCUAUAAGACUGGGAUAACUUCGGGAAACCGUAGCUAAUACCGGAUAAUAUUUUGAACCGCAUUGUUCAAAGGUGAAAGACGGUCUUGCUGUCACUUAUAGAUGGAUCCGCGCUGCAUUAGCUAGUUGGUAAGGUAACGGCUUACCAAGGCAACGAUGCAUAGCCGACCUGACAGAGGGAUCGGCCACACUGGAACUGGAACACGGUCCAGACUCCUACGGGAGGCAGCAGUCGGGAACGUUCCGCAAUGGGCGAAAGCAUGACGCAGCAACGCCGCGUGAGUGAUGAAGGUCUUCGGAUCGUAAAACUCUGUUAUUAGGGAAGAACAUAUGUGUAAGUAACCGUGCACAUCUUGACGGUACCUAAUCAGAAAGCCACGGCUAACUACGUG
rnacentral:rRNA from 1 species